CUGGAGGCAGAACCUGUUACAGACAUGCAAAUAUACCUCUCUCUCUCCUCAGUUGCCCAUUCUCCACCGAUUACAUCCUGCUGUUUCAUGUCCGUGGACAAAGUGGUGUAGUCCAAGGAUCUUGAGAUUGUCUUCUCUCAGGGAACCACCACGCUUCCAGUGCACAAGCUUGUCAAAUGCAGCACAUGAUCAAAACUAGGUGGCCUGCAGAUCUGGAGAUAAGAGGGAACUCAAGGUCUCUCCUAGUGGUUCUGCUAACAUCCCUCAAAAGCUGUUUAAUAGCAAUCCAAUCCAAUGCUAUUACCAAGUCACCGCAAUAAUUCCAGG